CCCUUAGAUGUCCUGGGCCGCACGCGCGCCACACUGAUGCAUUCAACGAGUUUUACCUUGGCCGAGAGGCCUGGGCAAUCUUUUAAACCUGCAUCGUGAUAGGGAUAGAUUAUUGCAAUUAUUAAUCUUGAACGAGGAAUUCCUAGUAAACGCAGAUCAUCAAUCUGCAUUGAUUACGUCCCUGCCCUUUGUACACACCGCCCGUCGCACCUACCGAUUGAAUGGUCCGGUGAAGCCUCGGGAUUGUGGCCAGUUCACUUUAUUGGGAGUUGGCUGCGAGAACUUGUCUAAACCUUAUCAUUUAGAGGAAGGUGAAGUCGUAACA
rnacentral:rRNA from 1 species